rnacentral:misc_RNA from 1 species
AACGCAAAUUGCACUCUCUGGUAUUCCGGGGAGUAUGCCUGUUUGAGGGUCGUUAGAAAAAAAAAUCGAAGCGUCGCUCUUGGGCGAUUGCGUCGGAAUUGAGCCGUCUUUCAUAUGUUUAUUCAUGUCAAAGUGGCUUAAAAUUCAUCAAUCUGGGUACGAUUUAAAGCGUAUUUAAGAUCAUCACUGAUUAAGAACGCGCGAUGACGUAUCAUCUCAUGUAGUACGUUCGACCUGCUUGUCAGGCUCAUUCGUAUACGACACUCAACUUUUGACCUCAAAUCAGGUAAGAAUACCCGCUGAACUUAA